AUGACUCUCCAAGCUCUCAUCCCAGUGUCUCUCUCUCUACUCUGGCUCACAGGUCACUGCCAGAAGAGUGAUGUCACACAGCAGCCAGGAACGAUCUGGAGUCUUGCCCGGAAAACUGCAGAGAUGAACUGCAGCCAUGAGAAAGACGCGGGUCACGUUCAGAUGUACUGGUUCAGACAGCGUCCAGGGGAGUCUAUGAUGCUCAUCGUGUUCACAAGCGUUGGUCUGCAGCCGGACUACGGAGAUCUCAGUAAAACCAAAUACUCAGCUGUUAAAUCUGUAGCUCAGAACGGAGCGUUCACUGUAAAGGACUUGACACCAGAGGACAGCGGGCUGUAUUUCUGUGCUGUCAGCCAACACAGUGAUACAAACUGA